CAACCACCCAUGGCCUAAAACCGGCCCCCUUCAAGGAGAACGCUAACAUCAGAGGAAGAAGGAGGGGCAUUUGGAGGUGGCUACUGAGACAGCUUACACGUUACGGGCUUGAGCAAAACAGGGAGAAGUCCCUACGGAUGUCGACAAUUGGGCGAAUUCUGCCCCGGUAUCUCAGGCUUGACAACGGCCGGGGGGUCAUAUCGUUGAACAGACGAUAUGGCCGGACAAAGAGGGAGCGGGCCUCUCGGCAAGUCCGAAUGGACAAAUUAGCCGCACAGAUAGUGCAGCUACAAACACAGUACCGGCUGUUAGAAGAAGAGGCAGCCACAGAAAGAGCAGCAGAGGUUGCCAACAAUACAGAGCCCUCGCAUGAUGACCACUUACGAUCCCCGACCAGUGAAUUUGAAAUAAUUUCGUUGUGCUUGAAUAAAAUAAGUUGUUAGUAACAUUCGACAGUAUAGAAUCUUAGAAUGUCUUUUAUGGAAAAAUCACGAAAGAGCUAAUGAAAAAAGUUGAAGAUAAUAAACCCCUGGAAACAUCAAUGUGAGUAAAGCUAAAGUUUAACAUAAACUCCUGAUAAAACAUAUAAUCAAAUCAGUAAAUUAGUCCGUUAAUUAAUACUUCAUUAGUGAACUGUAUUUUUCCCUCAAGACCGUCUAAAAUGUAAAUUAAAAGUUUUGUAAAAGUUGUCGAAUUGUUGUCUAGUGUUACCAUUUUUAUAUUAUCAGAGUACGGCAUGAAUCCGCAACACCUCCCCCUCG